GAUGAACGCUGGCGGCGUGCCUAAUACAUGCGAGUCGAGCGAACAGACGAGGAGCUUGCUCCUCUGACGUUAGCGGCGGACGGGUGAGUAACACGUGGAUAACCUACCUAUAAGACUGGGAUAACUUCGGGAAACCGGAGCUAAUACCGGAUAAUAUAUUGAACCGCAUGGUUCAAUAGUGAAAGACGGUUUUGCUGUCACUUAUAGAUGGAUCCGCGCCGCAUUAGCUAGUUGGUAAGGUAACGGCUUACCAAGGCAACGAUGCGUAGCCGACCUGAGAGGGUGAUUGGCCACACUGUUACUGAGACACGGCCGAGACUCUGACGGGAGGAAGCAGUAGGGACUCUUACGGGAGGGGCGAAUGGCGGACGUGACACCGCCGCGUGAGUCAUGAUGGUCCUCGGCUCGGAAAACGCUGUUAUCAGGGAAGAAGAAAUGUGUAAGUAACUAUGAACGUCUUGACGGUACCUGCUCAGAAAGCCACGGCUAACUACGUG
rnacentral:rRNA from 1 species